rnacentral:rRNA from 1 species
GAUGAACGCUGGCGGCGUGCCUAAUACAUGCAAGUCGAGCGAACAGAUGAGGAGCUUGCUCCUCUGACGUUAGCGGCGGACGGGUGAGUAACACGUGGAUAACCUACCUAUAAGACUGGGAUAACUUCGGGAAACCGGAGCUAAUACCGGAUAAUAUAUUGAACCGCAUGGUUCAAUAGUGAAAGACGGUUUUGCUGUCACUUAUAGAUGGAUCCGCGCCGCAUUAGCUAGUUGGUAAGGUAACGGCUUACCAAGGCAACGAUGCGUAGCCGACCGGAGAGGGGGAUAGGCCGCACUGGAACUGAGACAGGGACCAGAGUCCUACGGGAGGGAGCAGUAGGGAAUCUUCCGCAAUGGGCGAAAGCCUGACGGAGCGACGCCGCGUGAGUGAUGAAGGUCUUCGGAUCGUAAAACUCUGUUAUUAGGGAAGAACAAAUGUGUAAGUAACUAUGCACGUCUUGACGGUACCUAAUCAGAAAGCCACGGCUAACUACGUG